GCCGGAGUCAUGGAUAAUACUUCACUUGCCAAAUGUGGGUGAAUUCUAUCAAUCAUGACAUAAAAAAUGAGAAUUACUUCCAACUUUUACACCUUUUAGGGCAAUAUUAAGAGUAAAUAAAUCAAACCAGGAGUUACGAGAAAUAUCCAAAUGUAAGUCUAACUUUAUUAGCAGUAAACUCUGACUCCUGACUUUGAGAACAUUUAUAUUUUUUAUAGAUUUUUUUGUUCUUUUAUAUGGAACAAUGGGAUUUAUGCAAUCGAUGAUGCAUUUCACAACAGUGCACCUCAAAUUGAGGCCAGGAAACCUGUAUAGGUGAAUUUUCUUAUGUGUGCAUGUGGUGGGACAAGGUCCUCAACCAUUAUUCUACUGAUUCAUUGGUAACAUUAAAUUCAAAAAGCUAAGUCACUUCCUGUCCUUACUUUCUUUUUGUGAUUGCUGAAAUAGGCAGAUUUGAAUGUUUUUUUGUUUACAAUGUCAUAACACAAGCAGUGCUUUAAGCCUCAGCAUCCAUGUCCAUACGAGGGAAGUGUUGGUGUCAUUAUCCUGGUUGGAUUAGCCCUGGCCACCCCCAGCAAAGCUUACUGUCACAGAUCUUUGUAGAUUUUUACAUGUUUAUGCCAAUCUGACCCGGAACCUCGCUGUGUCUGCACAAGAAAACUCCAGCAACCUCACAACUGUACUCUGGUCAACUUGGCCCUGGUUGGACUGAUGAUGGAUUCACCAUCGCACCUAUUAAACUACCUGCACUGUCCAGGAAUUCAUGGCUACACUUACAGGCUGCAGCCUAGCAGCAGGAGACGGGGCACACCCAGAAAGCUGAGAGCGACGUGAGAUAUGUACGUCUUGGACAUUAUGGCACUUUCAUCGGUUGGAUCUUUCUCAGCACUACUGGCAUGUGUGAGGAUGUGACCUCAGUUUCUACCAGCAAGACAGAAGUGCCCUCAGUCUCUUAAAUAUGCACAUAUUUUGAUUGUUGGACAUUUUCCUUUCUUAACUUCUCUUGGAUCUUGAAUAAUCUUUGACAUGGACUGAUUGGAGUCCAGGCACAGCUGAACUAUUUGACCUGUGACAAACAACUGCAGGAACAAACUCAUGAACCUUUUUUUAUUGCUCUCUUGUCUUAAGGAUGUUGUGAAGUGUUUGUAAAGUUAAAAUCACUGCAAAUAGUAGUUACAUCUUUGUACACAUGUAUGUGGAUGCUCACUUUGACUCCCCCCUGCCAUGCAAGGCACAGAUAAACUCACAGUAUCUGAGCUAUUUAGCAUCACUGAAUCUACAAAAAAUCCUCAACAUCUAUAUCUAACCACAAAAAUCAUUUUUCAUACAUCAGUAGGGUCUUGCAGUAUUUUGUACUGUUUGAGCAACUCUGUACAAUGUCAAACUAUUUUUAUAACCUGUGGUAGUUGCCAUGAAUUGUAAGCAUUGUAUGUAUCAGAAAUGGCUAAGAUAAAUAAAUGCAUGCAUGAAGACAUGUUAUAAUGAGUGUAUUUUAACAACUAGCUGUAAGUACAAUAUAGCUGUCUAUUCAUGAAGAAAACAGGCACACAAUUCCAGAUUUUGAACAGCUGAUGUAUAUCAGCAGGAAGGGUAAACUUGGCCACAGACGUGUCUCUACAUUCUGCCUGUACAGGGCAUCACACCCCACAUGAAGCACCUUAGGAACGAGUCAUGAACACAAGAAACACUGACGUACAGUAAAUGUGACAUAGGUGAAGUUAAUCCACUUUACAAUGACAAGAUUUCCAUUGGCCCAGGGUAUUUAGAGUGUCACUGAGUGAAGGACCUUAAUCAUUCUGGAACAGGUAAAAAUAUCCCUAACCUUAUCUGAACUUAACUUUUUUUUUUUUUUUAAAGUAUUCACCCCCUUUGGAAGUUUCAUUCUUUUGUUGCUCUCCAGCAUUGAAUCAUGGUCAACAUGAUUUGGCUUUUUGACAAGAAUUUACUACAAGGACUCUUUACUGUCAAAUUGAAAAUAGAUUUCUUGAAAGUAUUGUCAGUUAAUGCAAAAAAUUCUAGAUGAUUUAAGUGAUUGCAUAGGUAUUCACGCCUAGUUACAGCCAGCUGGUGUUAGAAAGUGAAUGUGACUCAUAUGAUUGUAGUAUAAAGACACGUGUAUCUCCAAGGUCCAGUUACUGGUGAGUUAGUACUCCUGGCUUUAACUACACCAUUAAGAUAUGGUGAAAACACUCCAAGCAACUCUGUGAAAAUGUAAUUAAAAAGCAAAAGUCAGGAGAUGGAUACAAACACAUUUCUAAUUCAGCGAACAUCACUUGGAGUGCAGUUAAAUCUAUCAUUACUAAAUGGAAGUAAUAUGGCACAUUGAUAAUUCUGCCUAGAACAAGCCAUCCUCAAAAUUUGAGCAACUGUGCAAAAAGAGAUUAGUGAGGGAGGCCACCAAGACAACUAUGACUUCUCUGAAGAAAUUACAAGACACGGCAAGGCAGGACAAAUUUACUUGUAUAGCACAAUACACACACGACAAUUCACGUUGCUUUACAAUGACAAAGAAAUAUUCAGAAAAAUGAUUUAAAGCUAGACACAAAUUAAAAUCAUAGAAAUAAAACAUAAAACUAGACAUUAAGAUCAUAAAAGUGCAUUAAAAGGCAAGAAAAUAGACUGAGCAUCUAAGAGAAAGCUGUAGUAAACAAUCUGGUUUUCGGACCUGAUUUAAAAGAGCUGACAGUUUGAGCAGACCUCAGGCGUUCAGGAAGUUUGUUCCUCGGGUGAGGAGCAUAAUCGCUGAAUGCUGCUUCACUAGUCUUGGUUCUGAUUCUGGGAACACGCAGUAAACCAGUCCCUGAUGACAUGAGUGUUAUGGCCACAGCCUGAGGCUGUGGUCAGCUGCAGUACUCUACUAACACAGUACUUAGACCAAUCUGACCUGAGUCUGUAAUCUCUUUCCUGCACCUGAGCCUUUGCACCCACCGUAACAAUGAGGGCUCUGGAUGCUUCUGAUGGAGCUAAUAACUCCAGGAUGUCUUUUGGUCCAAGAACAUUCAGUGCUUUGUAGACCAAGAGUAAGAUUUUCAACUCUAUCCCUUGACUAACAUGAAGCCAGUGUAGUGAUUUGAGGAUCGGGGUAAUAUUGACCAGUUUCCUGGUGUUAGGACUCUGGCAGCAGUGUUCUGGAUCAGCUGUAGCUUCCCCUACUUCAAUUAAACUCCCCAGUUUGUUCAUUAGUCAUUCCAAGAACGUUCACUAAGGAGCAUUGCUAGAAGCUUUAUUAGAAAGCAGCUCAGCUUAAUUUUUAGGCUUAGCUGUCUAAUGAAACUCCUAGGAAAAGCAUGACCGGCAUGACUCUGACAUCUACACCUAAGCAGAUGUCUGUGUAGAUUCUUGUGUCUGAGAAUCUACACAGACAUCUGCUUAGAUGUAGAUUUCUUAUUUCUUAUCCAUCAUCACCAUGCAUCAAAAGAUUGUACAGCAAAACUGCAGAUGCUGUCUUUUCAUGCUACUAAUAAAAAGUAAAAAGUAAACAAACAUAAAUAAAAACAGGUGCAAUGGACUCAGUAUCUUUAAAGGUCCAAUAUAAUUAAAACGUGUUGUGAUCCAAUAACAGCAAUGAGGAAUUUGACAUCCAGUUAUUCACUACAGAAAUAUAGUCAUGAAGAAAACUCCGCAAACCAGGCUCAGAGGAUAUAAUUUGAUGGUUUGCAUAACAUCAGCAGAGACAUCAUGUUAAUGAAAAUGUGCCCAAGUGAGAGGAUGUAGUUGGAAAACAAAAAAUUGGUCCCAAAACAGAGCCCUGGAGCACACUGUGCUUGACAGAAGAAAAUGAUACGUAACUUCUGACAGAGACACAAGACAUCAUAUUUCAUAGCUACGAUAAGAAAUGUUGUCCCAGAUAUCUCCACCCACUGCCUCAGUCUGUCUAGGCAAAAAACAUGCAAAUGGAGAGAACAUACUUAAUAAAUCAACUCUCAAUGGCAUCAUCAAUAGGAGACACAAAGCAUGGACAUGUGUGCACAGUCUGACGUUUCCUGUUGCUCUGGUGGUUUUAUAACUUGCCUGGGCCAGUUGUAUGAACACAUACAUGGAAUUUAACUCUGAGUUUUUAAAAUUUUUGCUCUCGAAGUGCUUAACCAAAAUAAAACAGAAAUGCAUUUAAACAAGAAACAACAGAUUACUGAAGGAAAAAAAGUGCUUAACUACUAUGUACAACAAGAAUUUGUUUAAAACAGUUUAAAAUAAAUCAGAAUCUUUAGUGUAAAAUUGCAGUGAACAAAAGUUUAGGAGAAAUACUUUUAUUAAUAAAUACACUUAAUACCUGAUAUACAUGGGGCAGAUGAACACUGCAGAGUAAUGGAAUAGAGACCAAGGUUUCUGAGAUAUUCAGUAUAUACAGUGGUUCAGGGUUUCAGUUCAGGAAGAGUUGUUCCUGAAUGAAUUAAAUUUUCAUCAGCGUGAUGGCCUAUGGAAACAAACUGCUCUUGUGUCUGGUUGAUUUGACAUUCAGAGCUCUGCAGUGCCUACCAGAGGGAAGAAGUUGAAACAGUCUGUGUCCAGGGUGCGACCUGACUUGUUAAUAGGCCAUUAGCCAUGUGGGCUGGAGUGACUAUAAAUUCUCCUCUUACAAAGAGGUUACGCUUCUUCUAGUGACACAACACAAUGAAUAUAAUUUCUCAUCACUAAAUGAUGACCUUAUUAUCUCAUUAUCUUCAGAAUUCUUUUCUUCACAAAAAAUCAGACACCAGGAUUCUCAGUGAGUUAAAAUUACACUCGUUUAUCAGGAGCAUCAGUUAGAUCUUUUAUCUAGGCUCCCUAAGAGACCUUUAUCAAGAAUAUGUCAAGUUCAGUAAUCAAUAAUUAAUCAAAUCUAUUUGUAUUGUUCAGUCUCAUUAUGAAAGUCGUAAACUCUGAUUUCCCUCCAGUUGAAGGAAAUGAAGAAACACACUGUAGAACCAAUGAUAAUUAUAUACAAACAUUUAUUAACUAAUACUACGAACAAACGAUGAACAACAAUGAUGUAACAACAGCAGACAGUGAAAAAAACUGAUGAAUAAAUGCAGAUAAACUAAUGAAUGCGAUGAAUUUAGAAUUAUUUUGAAAUUGGGAAAUCAAUUGUAAUUUGUACAUUAACUCGUUUAGCAGAAGGAAAAAGAUACUUGCGCAGCCUUUGGAGGAGAGAUGGGAGGCUGCUGCAGGAUGUGUAGCUGAGAUGAUCUGCUGAAUGAGUUGGUUCAGGAACGCAGCGACAAGGAGGCACUUUGGCCGGAACUGAGCCGAACUGAAAACACUAAGAGUUGAAGCUCAUAGUUAUAAAAAAAAUAUUCAUGCUGUUGUAGUAUUAAAGAUAAUUUAAGGAGUCCAACUUUAAGCAAAACAUAGGUAACAAAGCCCUAGUUCAAAGUGAAGCCAUACGUUUCUUUGAGCCAUCAUAAAAGAACCCUUUUUUAAGCCUUUGUUUUAGUUUUCACAAAACAGCCCAUUUCAAAAGUGAGGUGUAAACAUAAGAAUAAACUUACAAAUUGUGGACUUAAGGCUACAUGAAAGUAAAUUUAUAACAUAGCUAAAACACAAGUACAUACAUUCAAUAAUAAGCAAAGGAAGUAUAUAUGCUUAGAGUGAAAAGCCUCUCUGUGCCUUUAUGGCUGUGGUCUGUGACAGAGAGAAGGGGGUGUUUGUGUCUUGUUUGUUCUUCUUAACAAACACUUCAGAUUUGAUUCUUCUUCCAUACUGGUCCUGAUCAGUCUGGCAUCAGAGACUGAGUCCAGAUCGUCACUCUAGUGAUGCUGCAUUUCCUUAAUAUCCUAAUUUAAAUUGUUCAGUCCAUUCCUGUAUAGUGAGUUCUGUGUGUUAGGAAGGGAGAUUAGAAGAUCACUGUGAAGAAUGCAAAUCCUCUUCUGAAGAGAUGUGGUUUUCCUCGCCCUUAUCAGAUUCUGGUGGAGGUAGUAGGCAUCCUGUGGUCUCCAAUGAGCCGUGAGUGGUCCUUUAGUAGUAAACAAAUGACUGGCAGAUGUUCCAUUUCCAAUGUGAGUUUUGGGUGAGCUGUCUUCUGAAAUGUGUCUUACCAAAUGAAUAGCUGUGAGAAAGGGUCUCUGGAUUCUCUGCAUGUUGCUCUGUAAUGUUCUGCUCCUCAGUUCACUACAAAUAAUAUUCACAUCCAUAUAGUCCUCUGUGGCUUCACGGUUCAUGUCCCAGCCUGGGCCAUGGAUUUUUCUGUGUGAAGUUUGCAUUUUCUCCCUUUGUGUGUGUGGAUUUCCACAAGGUUCUCUGGCUUCCUCCCACAGUCCAAAAACAUGCUGAGGUUAAUUGGUGAUUGUAAAUUGUCAGCAGGUGUGAAUGUGAGUGUGUUUGUCUGUCUCUCUGUCCAGACUGUCCCCCACCUUUGCCUUAAAUCAACUGGGAAAGACUCCGGCACCCCCGCGACUCUAAUGAGGAUUAAAGGCCUUAAAGGAUCAGUAUGUAAGAUUUAGUGGCAUCUAGUGGUCGCGUUGCAGAUUGCAACUAACUCCCUCAGCCUGACAUUUCUUAGCGUAUAGGGAACUAUGGCGGUCACAAGUGAAAGAACCUCUCUACAGUCAAAAUUGCGAGCUCUCCAAGCAGAUUGAAGGGCUUAUUCUACAUUAACAAAAACUCUGUGAUUUUUAUUUCUGAUGAUUUUGCACUAAUGAAAAAGUAGUUAUGAAUAUCAGGCACGUGAUGCCCAAAGGGACCUUUUGUCAAAGUUGUUUUUUUUAAUCUAGUUUAAUUUUAUUUUUUAUUUGUAAGUGCGUGUGCGUGUGUGCGUGUGUGUGUGUGUGUGUGUGUGGCCCAAAAUAAUAAAUAAAGCAAAAAUAAUAAUAAUUCAGAUCUACCUUCGGUCGGUCACAUGAUCUACGUAGACGUCCCUCACUGCCCUGACGUGUCCUGACGUCCUGUAGCUCAGUGCUAGCUAGCGCCGCUAGUCGAGAAACCGGAGACCCGAGGGAGGACUUCAACAACUGAUGGUCCUGAUGGUGAGGAGGUUCUGCAGCGGGAUUCGUUUGUGCACGGUGUACUUUUGCAAGAUGACUGACGAAGUGAAAUGUGGACAGAAUCCUGUCAUGCAUGUUGAGGAAUUACCUUGACCAGCCGACCAGAGGAGGAACAGCACAGGUGCAAGCCAUGAACCAGGUGAAUCCGCAGCCUAUCGCAGAGUGGGUGGCUGUGA